rnacentral:rRNA from 1 species
ACGCUGGCGGCAUGCCUAACACAUGCAAGUCGAACGCGAAAGCCUUCGGGUGAGUAGAGUGGCGGACGGGUGAGUAAUGCGUGGGGAUCUGCCCUGCAGUGGGGAACAACCCGGGGAAACUCGGGCUAAUACCGCAUACGUCCUACGGGAGAAAGGGGGCCUUCGGGCUCUCGCUGCAGGAUGAGCCCACGUCCGAUUAGCUUGUUGGUGGGGUAACGGCCUACCAAGGCGACGAUCGGUAGCUGGUCUGAGAGGAUGACCAGCCACACUGGGACUGAGACACGGCCCAGACUCCUACGGGAGGCAGCAGUGGGGAAUAUUGGACAAUGGGCGAAAGCCUGAUCCAGCAAUGCCGCGUGUGUGAAGAAGGCCUGCGGGUUGUAAAGCACUUUCAGUGGGGAAGAAAAGCCGAGGGUUAAUACCCCUAGGUCUUGACGUUACCCACAGAAGAAGCACCGGCUAACUCCGUGCCAGCAGCCGCGGUAAUACGGAGGGUGCAAGCGUUAAUCGGAAUUACUGGGCGUAAAGCGCACGUAGGCGGUGAGGUCAGUCAGAUGUGAAAGCCCCGGGCUCAACCUGGGAAUUGCAUUUGAUACUGCCUGGCUUGAGUAUGGUAGAGGGGGGUGGAAUUCCAGGUGUAGCGGUGAAAUGCGUAAGAUAUCUGGAGGCACACCAGUGGCGAAGGGCGGCCCCCGUGGCCCUAUUCUGACUCUGAGGUGCGAAAGCGUGGGGCAAACACACAGGAAUAGAUCCUGUGGUAGUCCACGCUGUCGACGAUGUCGUACUACCCUGGUGGAUCCAUAUAAGGGUUUAGUGGCGCAGAUGACGUGAUUAGUCGACCGCCUGGGGGACUACGGCCGCGAGGUUACUACUCGAAGUAAUUGACGGGGCCAGCACAAGCGGUGCGAGCAUGUGUUAUUAUUCGAUGCGACGCGAAGCUCCUCACCAGCCCACUGACAUCCUUGGUACUGUCAGAGAUGACAGCUGCCGUCAGGGAACCUAACUGACUAGCUGCAUGCAUGGUCUGUCAGUCUCGCUCUUGUCGUGUAGUAUGUUGGAUUCAGUCCCGUGAACGCGCGCAACCUUUGUCCUUAGCUUGCCAGCGGUUCGGCCGGGUACUCUAAGGAGACUGCCGAUGAUCCACCGGAAGAAGGUGAGGACGACAUCUCAUCAUCAUCGCCCCAUUAUGUGGUGGGCUACACACGUGAUACUAUGCUCGUCACAGAGUCUCGAGAAGCCGCGAGGUGGAGCCAUAUCCCAGAAAGCCGUUCGUAGUCCGGAUUGCAGUCUGCAACUCGACUGCAUGAAG